rnacentral:rRNA from 1 species
AGUCGAGCGGAUGACGGGAGCUUGCUCCUUGAUUCAGCGGCGGACGGGUGAGUAAUGCCUAGGAAUCUGCCUGGUUGUGGGGGACAACGUUUCGAAAGGAACGCUAAUACCGCAUACGUCCUACUGGAGAAAGCAGGGGACCUUCGGGCCUUGCGCUAUCAGAUGAACCUAGGUCGGAUUAACUAGUUGGUGGGGUAAUGGCUCACCAAGGCGACGAUCCGUAACUGGUCUGAGAGGAUGAUCAGUCACACUGGAACUGAGACACGGUCCAGACUCCUACGGGAGGCAGCAGUGGGGAAUAUUGGACAAUGGGCGAAAGCCUGAUCCAGCCAUGCCGCGUGUGUGAAGAAGGUCUUCGGAUUGUAAAGCACUUUUUUUUGGGAGGAAAGGCAAUAAGUUAAUACCUUGCUGUUUUGACGUUACCGACAAAAUAAGCACCGGCUAACUCUGUGCCAGCAGCCGCGGUAAUACAGAGGGUGCAAGCGUUAAUCGGAAUUACUGUGCGUAAAGCGCGCGUAGGUGGUUCGUUAAGUUGGAUGUGAAAGCCCCGGGCUCACCCUGGGAACUGCAUCCAGAACUGGUGAGCUAAAGUACGGUAGAGGGUGCUGGAUAUUGCUGUGUAGCGGUGAAAUGCGUAUAUAUAUGAAGGAACACGAGUGUCGAAGGCGACCACCUGGACUGAUACUGACACUGAGGUGCAAAAGCGUGGGGAGCAAACAGGAUUAUAUACCCUGGUAGUCCA